rnacentral:rRNA from 1 species
UAAUACGGAGGGGGCAAGCGUUGUUCGGAAUUAUUGGGCGUAAAGAGUAUGUAGGCGGCUGGGUAAGUCAGGCGUGCAAGCCCACGGCUCAACCGUGGAAUUGCGUCUGAAACUAUUCGGCUUGAGUGCAGGAGAGGAAAGCGGAAUUCCCAGUGUAGCGGUGAAAUGCAUUGAUAUUGGGAAGAACACCGGUGGCGAAGGCGGCUUUCUGGUCUGCUACUGACGCUGAGAUACGAAAGCCAGGGGAGCAAAGGGGAUUAGAUACCCCCGUAGUCCUGGCCGUAAACGAUGGGCGCUAGGUGCGGGAGGUAUCGAUCCCUUCCGUGUCGCAGCUAACGCAUUAAGUGCCCCGCCUGGGGAGUACGGUCGCAAGGCUG